rnacentral:tRNA from 1 species
GGCUAUAGCUCAGUGGUAGAGCACAUGCUUAGCAUGCACGAGGUCCUGGGUUCAAUCCCCAGUAUCGCCA